GUAGUUUGCCGGAGCUUCCUCUCAGGGUACCGUCAUUUCUUUCGUCCCCUGUCACAGAAGUUUACAACCCGAAGGCCUUCUUCCUUCACGCGGCGUUGCUGGGUCAGGGUUUCCCCCAUUGCCCAAUAUUCCCCCCUGCUGCCUCCCGUAGGAGUCUGGACCGUAUCUCAGUUCCAGUGUGGCCGUUCAGCCUCUCAGCUCGGCUACCCAUCGUAGUCUUGGUGGGCCGUUACCCCGCCAACUAACUAAUGGGACGCGAACCCGUCCUAUACCGGAUUUCUCCUUUGACCCCUUCGUCAUGUGACGUUGUGGUCUUAUGCGGUAUUAGCAGCCGUUUCCAGCUGUUGUCCCCCUGUAUAGGGUUGGUUGUUCACGCGUUACUCACCCGUCCGCCACUCGGGAAUGACCGAAGCCAUUCCCUCGUUCGACUUGCAUGGGUUAGGCACGCCGCCAGCGUUCGUCCUGAGCCAGGAUCAAACUCUGA
rnacentral:rRNA from 1 species